rnacentral:lncRNA from 1 species
AGGAGGCUGUGGAUUAUACCCAGGAGUGGGAGGCUUCUAGAGUGCCCUCGAACAUGACGGGGAAGAGGUUGGGGGAACUUAGGGAAAGGUACAGUGUGCCUCAUAACAUAGAGAUGUUAGUCCCCGAACCGAACGAGCGGGCCUGCUAUCCGAGGCCCGGAUGCGUGGCCGUGAGUGAAUACCUGUUCAAAGCAGGUAUGCGUCUUCCUUU